rnacentral:rRNA from 1 species
GACGAACGCUGGCGGUGUGCUUAACACAUGCAAGUCGAACGGUAAGGCCCUUUCGGGGGUACACGAGUGGCGAACGGGUGAGUAACACGGGAGUAACCUGCCCUCAUCUCUGGGAUAACAGUCGGAAACGGUUGCUAAUUCCGGAUAUGAGCCUGCAAGGCAUCUUGUGGGUUGGAAAGAUUUUUUGGUUGGGGAUGGACUCGCGGCCUAUCGGCUUGUUGGUGAGGUAGUGGCUAACCAAGGCAUCGACGGGUAGCCGGCCUGAGAGGGCGACCGGCCACAUUGGGACUGAGGUGCGGCACAAGCGCCGACGAGAGGCAGCUGGGGGGAAGAUUGCACAAUGGACGGAGGGCGGGUGCAGAAGCGCCGCGUGCGGGAUAACGGUCUUCGGGUUGAAAACCGGUUUCAAUUGUAACGAAGCUUUUUGUGACGGUAGCAAUAGAAGAAGCACCGGCUAACUACGUG